CUUAGUUGAAUUUGUUGGGGUUAUGUUUCAAAAGCUUGUUCCAUCAGCAGAAUUCCAACCAAAAUACCAUAUGCUACCCUAAAAUCAGUUAGAAUAUUUCCUAGUUUUAGACGAAGUUGUUAAUAACUAAACAAAAGAAGUCCUAGGAAUUUUAUGUCGAUGGGAACAAAGCCUCAAUUGCAUGAUCUCCCCCUGGCUUGGAAGAACUUGGCUCUGUCGAGUCUAAUUUAAUUUACUACUCCUAGAGUUCUGGGUUGAUGUGCUGAUGAUCUUCAGUGGCGAUCCGUGUGCAUUCAGACCUUGGUCAACCUUUUCAUUUCACCAGACAUAAUUUGUGCUGCAAUUUUUUCAUUAAAGUUAGGGGCCACCUGAUGUAAGGUUCAGAUUAUUUGACCAAUCUAUACACGGACAUUGAUCUGGCCCUCCAAGUGUGCAUGUGACACAGGCAAGUUUCUCCUUCAUUUACACGAUGAUGAGUGCUGUUAUGUAACUUGAAUCCCAUCCCUACUGCACGUGAAACACUUUCCACUCAUUGUGACUGGAAGUAUUGAUCAGUUGGGCCAUCAUCUAGAUGGGCCAUAGGUAAAAACUAUAGUCAACUGAUAACUUCAGACCAUCCAUCCAGAUGUAAGUUUUGCCCUGUCCAAAUCGACCUAUUAGUCAGCUUUGUAUCAACGGUCCAUCUUUAUAUCUGCUGUAUGGAUAACUACACAGUCGACCCCUUUGGUUGGUGGCCCUGAUCACCACAUGUUCAACUUGGAAACUUCGAUUCUAACUGUUUAUUUUGAAAUGGGCAGCGACUGACAAAUGGUUGGAAUUGAUGAAUGAUGGUAGCCCCAACUAUAAUAUUUUCAUCUACCCUUCCAAAAAAAAAAAAAAAGAAAGAAAUUGCCCUUUUAAUAUUGGAUUACAGGUAACUUAAUGAUGGUUUCUCUCUGAUUCACCUGAUUUCAACAACAUUGUUGCAUUAGAACUCGGUGCAGGAAUAGGUAUCCCUGAAAACUAGUAUCAAUUUGAUUCCAAUGAGAUAAUCGCUACUGUAUUGCUAAAUUCUAAAAUGCAACUUCUUUGAAUCUCAAUUCUCAAAUGGCAUUAAAUUAAGUGGUAUGAUUGAAUUUUGUAUCAUUGUCUUUCAUAUUGGAAUGCAUGUGUGCCAAUGCUUGGAUGCAUUCUUGACAUGCAUAGGGCAAUCCAUCCACCACACAUCUGAUCGAUACUGAUAGUGGUGGGAAUUCUCCCAUAGCUAAUUGGAGGAUCUUUAGCCCCGAUGAGCUUUCAGACCCAAAGAAGUCUUGGCAAGCUGAGGAAGGGUUUCAGGGAUCUGCUCACAGUAAGGUACAGAAUGACUACUUAUUUGGUGUCUGACUCACAUGUGACAUUCGGGGAUAUUGGCAGUGGAUCCUUUUCUUAGAUACAUUUUUUUGGCAAUGCUUGUUAUUCAUUGGGCCGUUUAUAAUUGAGAGAGCUUGUGAUUAUCAUGCAUAUAUUUUUGUUGGCAACCAUUAUCCACCAAUGAUUCACCUGUCUUCAAUUACAUCAAUAAUUUCUCCUAUUAAAGCCAGAUAAGUCUGUGCAUAUCACGAAAAGCUUCCCAUCACUUAGUUUUGUUGCGUCCCUGCCAGCUGUGUUUUCCUCACCGCAUGUCAGUUCCCAUAAAGAAUCUAGGUUCCUCAUAAGGCAUCACUUGUCACCCAAGUUUUCUUCUGAUGACGGGGAUGAAGGCAAGACUUCUUUGGGAGUUUCAGAUGCGCUUCAUCUCCCUAGUAGCUCAGCCGACACACAGGAAAGAUGUGAUAUCAAGAGUUCUAUGGAAGAAUUCAACAUUGAAGCGCUUGAAGCUAGCUAAUAAACCACCUAGGAUUUUGCAAUAACAUUUCACCUAUAUGUUGUUUGGAUGGAAUAUUACCAUGUUUGAGUGGGCCCUUUAAAUGUUUUUUUUUUCAGAUUUCUAUUCCAAAUAGAAACUAAAAUUUCAAUUUGGAAUAUUACCACAUU